rnacentral:RNase_P_RNA from 1 species
ACGAUGAACCAGACUGCCGCGGGAGGCCCCAAGAAAGUCCCCGCGCCAUGCGGGGGCAUGGGCGCCGCCUGAGGAAAGUCCGGGCUCCGCAGGGCAUGAUGCCGGGUAACUCCCGGGCGGGAAGGGCGAAAGUCCUUUCCGACAGAAAGCGCAACAGAAAGAUACAGCCCCCGGAGGGCGGCCCCGCAAGGGGCGGUUUUUUGGCGGCAAUGGUGAAAUGGCGAGGGUAAGAGCCCACCGCGAUACCGGCAAUGGUACCGCCGGCAAGCCUCAUCAGGAGCAAAAUCAAGCGGCGCAGCAAAAGUUCGCUUUUGCGCCAAUUGCCCGUUGGUCAAGCGCAGGUAGAUUGCCGGGGAAUUCCCCGGAGGCCGUCCGUAAGGCCGGUCCAAGACAGAUGGCAGUCAACGCCAGGCGCCCCCGGGUGUUUGGCGACAGAACCCGGCUUAUGGUUCAUCGUUUUU